CGCGUGUUUUUGCGCUCCCAUCUCCAGCGACGUACGUGUUGAAUCUGUGUUUCUUUACGUUAAUGGGAACGGAAAGGGCUCUGUUUAUUUCCAUGGAAAAACAACAUAUUCAUUUUGUGCUCAAAUCAACGAUUUAGAGAUUCGCUAUUACGAACAAACAAAAAGCAUUUUGGAACUCAGAUUUCUCCAGCUGAGGAAACAAAGGAAACACUCUUCACUGACAAAACGUAGGUGUAUCAUUGAUGACCAAAUUCAACACAACAAUACUAAUUGAUCCACCUUAUCCACAACGCGAGCAACUACAAGCAUGGGUCACAGAGAACAAAGGAACACUUCAUUUACUUUGAGGAGCACAUCCAAAUCUGGAUCUCUCAUCUCCAUUACAGUAGAUGGAAGAAGUCAUCCCAAUUGCAAACAUUGAACCCCAAGAAGAUGAACAAACAUUCUCAAUUGAAGCAAAAAUACCAUUCCCGAGUGACCAAAAGAGAUUCACGAUAACAAAAAACAUUCGGCAUGCACCAAGCUACUUUUGUUGACUCAUUUUAGAAUCCAACGUCAACUUAACAUCUGUACUUUCUCUUUAGCAGCAAGCUUCAUGUAUAACCUUGCACAAAACUUAUGUAAUAUAUUUAAAACACAACCACGUCUUCUUUAUUUUCACGUCAAUAUAAAACACGCCCGUGCCUUGCACGGGCACUCACCCCCUAGUAUAUAUAUACAUAUAUUUCUUUUCUACUAUCUUACUUAUUUCUUUUCUACUAAGAAGUAUUAACAACAUUCUGAAUCACUACUCAUAUAACUUUUUGUUUAUGUUUAAAUCAGGUGGAGCUAGUGUCAUUCUUCUUGAUUGAGCCAUGUCUAGUGGAGUAUGAAAUGCUUCGAUUCCCACCAUCAAUGCUUGCAGCUGCUGCUAUCUUUACUGCACAAUGCACUCUCGGUGUGUCUUAAGGAGUGGAAUAAAACCUGUGAGAAGCAUAGCAGCUAUGUCAAAGAUCAACUUUUGGAAUGCUCGAAAUUGAUGGUUUCUUUCCAUCAGAAGGCAGCAAUUGGGAGGCUUACUGGCGUGCACUGAAAGUACAGCACUUCUAAAUAUGGCUACACUACUAGAUGUGAACCAACUUCUUUUCUAUUAGAAGCAUGGUUUUAGGAUUGUCUAGGAGGAACACAUGAUGAAACUGCAUGCUUGCAGUAGUAUAUGUGUUCAGUUUUUUUAAUGCAAUUGUUGAGCAAGAUAAGUUGCCCCAGGCUCUGGGGAAAGGGGAGGGUGUUUGAGUUCUUUUGUUACUGAGAAAACUUUGUUUAUGGUUUUUCAUGUCAUGUACAUUGAUGUUGACAUUGUUGGAAUGUGAAAUCUUGCUUUUCAUACUUUUUCUUGAA